rnacentral:rRNA from 1 species
GAUGAACGCUGGCGGCGUGCCUAAUACAUGCAAGUCGAGCGAAUGGAUUAAGAGCUUGCUCUUAUGAAGUUAGCGGCGGACGGGUGUGUAACACGUGGGUAACCUGCCCAUAAGACUGGGAUAACUCCGGGAAACCGGGGCUAAUACCGGAUAACAUUUUGAACCGCAUGGUUCGAAAUUGAAAGGCGGCUUCGGCUGUCACUUAUGGAUGGACCCGCGUCGCAUUAGCUAGUUGGUGAGGUAACGGCUCACCAAGGCAACGAUGCGUAGCCGAGCUGGAAGGGUGAUCGGCCACACUGGGACUGAGACACGGCCCAGACUCCUACGGGAGGCAGCAGUAGGGAAUCUUCCGCAAUGGACGAAAGUCUGACGGAGCAACGCCGCGCGAGUGAUGAAGGCUUUCGGGUCGUAAAACUCUGUUGUUAGGGAAGAACAAGUGCUAGUUGAAUAAGCUGGCACCUUGACGGUACCUAACCAGAAAGCCACGGCUAACUACGUGCCAGCCGCCGCGGUAA